AGCUAUUUAGCUAUAAAAGUAUUUGCUUUGAAAGCAAAGGAAAAGGAAACUUAAUAGCUU
rnacentral:tRNA from 1 species